rnacentral:rRNA from 1 species
CCUACGGGCGGCAGCAGUGAGGAAUAUUGGUCAAUGGACGAGAGUCUGAACCAGCCAAGUAGCGUGAAGGAUGACUGCCCUAUGGGUUGUAAACUUCUUUUAUAUGGGAAUAAAACGUUCCACGUGUGGGAUUUUGUAUGUACCAUAUGAAUAAGGAUCGGCUAACUCCGUGCCAGCAGCCGCGGUAAUACGGAGGAUCCGAGCGUUAUCCGGAUUUAUUGGGUUUAAAGGGAGCGUAGGUGGAUUGUUAAGUCAGUUGUGAAAGUUUGCGGCUCAACCGUAAAAUUGCAGUUGAAACUGGCAGUCUUGAGUACAGUAGAGGUGGGCGGAAUUCGUGGUGUAGCGGUGAAAUGCUUAGAUAUCACGAAGAACUCCGAUUGCGAAGGCAGUUCACUGGACUGCAACUGACACUGAGGCUCGAAAGUGUGGGUAUCAAACAGGAUUAGAUGCCCUUGUAGUC